AGAGUUUGAUCAUGGCUCAGAUUGAACGCUGGCGGCAUGCUUUACACAUGCAAGUCGAACGGCAGCGGGGGCUUCGGCCCGCCGGCGAGUGGCGAACGGGUGAGUAAUGCAUCGGAACGUACCCAGUCGUGGGGGAUAACUACGCGAAAGCGUAGCUAAUACCGCAUACGUCCUGAGGGAGAAAGCGGGGGACCGAAAGGCCUCGCGCGAUUGGAGCGGCCGAUGUCGGAUUAGCUAGUUGGUGGGGUAAAGGCCUACCAAGGCGACGAUCCGUAGCGGGUCUGAGAGGAUGAUCCGCCACACUGGGACUGAGACACGGCCCAGACUCCUACGGGAGGCAGCAGUGGGGAAUUUUGGACAAUGGGGGCAACCCUGAUCCAGCCAUGCCGCGUGAGUGAAGAAGGCCUUCGGGUUGUAAAGCUCUUUCAGACGGAAAGAAAUCGCGCGGGUGAAUAUCCUGCGUGGAUGACGGUACUGUCAGAAGAAGCACCGGCUAACUACGUGCCAGCAGCCGCGGUAAUAC
rnacentral:rRNA from 1 species